rnacentral:rRNA from 1 species
UACGAAGGGGGCUAGCGUUGUUCGGAGUUACUGGGCGUAAAGGGCGCGUAGGCGGCGCACCAAGUCAGGCGUGAAAGCCCUGGGCUCAACCCGGGAAUUGCGCUUGAGACUGGUGUGCUUGAGUUCGGGAGAGGUGAGUGGAACUGCGAGUGUAGAGGUGAAAUUCGUAGAUAUUGCAAGAACACCAGUGGCGAAGGCGGCUCACUGGCCCGAUACUGACGCUGAGGCACGAAAGCGUGGGGAGCAAACAGG